UACGUAGGGGGCAAGCGUUGUCCGGAAUCAUUGGGCGUAAAGCGCACGUAGGCGGAUUGUUAAGUCAGGGGUGAAAUCCUGGAGCUCAACUCCAGAACUGCCUUUGAUACUGGCGAUCUCGAGUCCGGGAGAGGUGAGUGGAACUGCGAGUGUAGAGGUGAAAUUCGUAGAUAUUCGCAAGAACACCAGUGGCGAAGGCGGCUCACUGGCCCGGUACUGACGCUGAGGCGCGAAAGCGUGGGGAGCAAACAGG
rnacentral:rRNA from 1 species